UUGAUGUUGAUGGUUAUCCAACUGACUCUGAAUGCAUACUAUGAAAAUCACAAUUUAUAUUAGAUCUAUGAUAUUCACAUGCAAAAUAAUAUUUUUCUCGGAUCAGAAGAUCAAAUAUCAAUAUGCUUUAGUCAGAUCAUGAUUUUAUGAACUGUGAUUUUACUCAUCAAACAGAUACUCUGCAUAUUACAUUUCAAAUAUACAAACAUAUCUGGAUAUUUGAUGUUGAUAUGCAAAGGGACUCUUUAAGUGUUUUCCUUAUCAUAUCUUCUUUAUGCUUUUUAGGAAAGCGAUGAUAAUGGUUUCAAGAGGGACUCUUUUAGAAAAGUGUAGCUGAAAAAAAUGUGGUUCAACCUCGCUUAUGAUAAAUAUUUACUGCUACUUCUGUGUAGAUUUAUGGAGCUUUCUACUUCAUUGUCAUUUCUGAAGGAAGAGGCCUCCUUCCUGCUUACUUUUUUUAAACAUCAGACAUAAUGUGCUUAUUAGAGUUUUUUUAUAUAAACAGGAGAAAAGGAAUCCCAGAUACUGGCAACGCAAGGUGUUUAUCUGUUAACAGAAGUGUUGGUCAUUGGAGAAUUCAGCAUUCCUGGCUAUAAUGAGGCAUUCUGGAAGGAGUUGGAUGGUGUCAAGCAAAUCUGGAA